GAAGUGGAUUGGAUGAUCGCGCUGACAGUUUGUCGGUGAGGAAAGUCCGAGCUCCAUAGGGCAAGGUGCUGGUUAACUGCCAGUGGGAGCGAUCCUGAGGAUAGUGCCACAGAAAUAUACCGCCCAAACGAUUGUCCGGGCUUGUCCCGAACUUUCCAGCAACCGCAUCACAGACUCAGUCCAGUUGUCGCACAUACGCCGCCCAGACAUCGCAAUCAUCGUCGCUUCUUCGUCGCAAUAUCCGCCGUCUAUUCGUCGUAACCUCGUAGCAGAGCCGCAGCAGAACCGUCCCAGUGCGUUUGGGUAAGGGUGCAAAGGUGGUGUAAGAGACCACCAGCAACCGGGUGACCGGUUGGCUAGGUAAACCCCGCCUGGAGCAAGACCAAAUAGAGGGAGUUGAGGCUGCUCGCCGAUCCCUCGGGUUAGGUCGCUUGAGGUGCCCUGAGAGGGGCAUCCCAGAUAGAUGAUCAUCGCCCGCUUGCGGGUACAGGACUCGGCUUACAGAUCCACUUCAAAA
rnacentral:RNase_P_RNA from 1 species